AUGGUGAAGGUGAAGCCUGGAGUCAACGGGUUUGGCGGUAUUGGGUGCGUGGUCACCAGGGCUGCUUUUAACUCUGGUAAAGUGGAUAUUGUCACCAUCAGUGACCACUUCAAUGACUUCAACUACAUGGUCUACAUAUUCCAGUAUGAUUCCACCCAUGGCGAAUUCCAUGGCAACGUCAAAGCUGAGAACAGGAAGCUUGUCAUCAAUAGAAAUCCCAUCACCAUCUUUUAGGUGCUAGAUUCCACCAGAAUCAAAUGGGGUGAUGCUGGCGCUGAAUAUGUCGUGAAGUCCACUGACAUCUUCACCAUCAUGGAGAAGGCUGGGGCUCAUUUGCAGGGAGGAGCCAAAGGGGUCAUCAUCUCUGCCCCCUCUGCUGAUGCCCCCAUGUUCGUGAUGGGCUUGAACCAUGAGAAGUAGGACAACAGCCCCAAGAUAGUCAGCAAUGCUUCCUGUGCCAUCAACCGCUUAGCACCCCAGGCCAAGAUCAUCCAUGACAACUUUGGUACCAUGGAGGCACUCAUGACCACAGUCCACACCAUCACUGCCACCCAGAAAACUGGAUGGCCCCUCCGGGAAACUGUGUCGUGACAGUCGCAGGGCUCUCCAGAACAUCAUCCCUGCCUCUACUGGCACUGCCAAGCCUGUGGGCAAGGUCAUCCCUGAGCUGAAUAAGAAGCUCACUGGCAUGGCCUUCCGAGUCCCCACUGACAAUGUGUUGGUCAUGAACCUGACCUGCUGUCUGGAAAAACCUGCCACAUAUGAUGACAUCAAGAAGGUGGUGAAGCAGUAUCAGAGGGCCCCCUCAAGGGCAUCCUGGGCUACACUGAGGACCAGGCUGUCUCCUCCGACUUCAACAGUGACACCCACUCCUCCACCUUUGAUACUGGGGCUGGCAUUGCCCUCAACGACCACUUUGUCAAGCUUAUUUCCUGGUAUGACAAUGAAUUUGGCUACAGCAACAGGGUGGUGGACCUCAUGGCCCACAUGGCCUCCAAGGAGUAA